rnacentral:rRNA from 1 species
GACGAACGCUGGCGGCGUGCUUAACACAUGCAAGUCGAACGGAAAGGCCCUGCUUUUGUGGUGUUCUCGAGUGGCGAACGGGUGAGUAACACGUGAGUAACCUGCCCUUGACUUUGGUAUAACUUCAGGAAACUGUGGCUAAUACCGGAUAGGAGCUCCUGCUGCAUGGUGGGGGUUGGAAAUUUUCGGCGGGUGGGGUUGGACUCGCGGCUUAUCAGCUUGUUGGUGGGGUAGUGGCUUACCAAGGCUUUGACGGGUAGCCGGCCUGAGAGGGUGACCGGCAAAAUUGGGACUGAGAUACGGCCAAGACUCCUACGGGAGGCAGCAGUGGGGAAUAUUGCACAAUGGGCGGAGGCCUGAUGCAGCAACGCCGCGUGCGGGAUGACGGCCUUCGGGUUGUAAACCGCUUUCGCAUGUGACGAAGCGUGAGUGACGGUAAUGGGUAAAGAAGCACCGGCUAACUACGUG